GUGCUUGCUUAGGCAGCACAUAUACUAAAAUUGGAACUAUACAGAGAAGAUUAGCAUGGCCCCUGCACAAGGAUGACAUGUAAAUUCAUGAAGCGUUCCUGCCACGG
rnacentral:snRNA from 1 species